AUUGAACGCUGGCGGCAGGCUUAACACAUGCAAGUCGAGCGGGGGAAGGUAGCUUGCUACCGGACCUAGCGGCGGACGGGUGGGUAAUGCUUAGGAAUCUGCCUAUUAGUGGGGGACAACAUCUCGAAAGGGAUGCUAAUACCGCAUACGUCCUACGGGAGAAAGCAGGGGAUCUUCGGACCUUGCGCUAAUAGAUGAGCCUAAGUCGGAUUAGCUAGUUGGUGGGGUAAAGGCCUACCAAGGCGACGAUCUGUAGCGGGUCUGAGAGGAUGAUCCGCCACACUGGGACUGAGACACGGCCCAGACUCCUACGGGAGGCAGCAGUGGGGAAUAUUGGACAAUGGGGGGAACCCUGAUCCAGCCAUGCCGCGUGUGUGAAGAAGGCCUUAUGGUUGUAAAGCACUUUAAGCGAGGAGGAGGCUACUUUAGUUAAUACCUAGAGAUAGUGGACGUUACUCGCAGAAUAAGCACCGGCUAACUCUGUGCCAGCAGCCGCGGUAAUACAGAGGGUGCGAGCGUUAAUCGGAUUUACUGGGCGUAAAGCGUGCGUAGGCGGCUUAUUAAGUCGGAUGUGAAAUCCCCGAGCUUAACUUGGGAAUUGCAUUCGAUACUGGUGAGCUAGAGUAUGGGAGAGGAUGGUAGAAUUCCAGGUGUAGCGGUGAAAUGCGUAGAGAUCUGGAGGAAUACCGAUGGCGAAAGCAGCCAUCUGGCCUAAUACUGACGCUGAGUACGAAAGCAUGG
rnacentral:rRNA from 1 species